UAAUACGGAGGGGGCUAGCGUUGUUCGGAAUUACUGGGCGUAAAGCGCACGUAGGCGGCUUUGUAAGUUAGAGGUGAAAGCCCGGAGCUCAACUCCGGAAUUGCCUUUAAGACUGCAUCGCUAGAAUUGUGGAGAGGUGAGUGGAAUUCCGAGUGUAGAGGUGAAAUUCGUAGAUAUUCGGAAGAACACCAGUGGCGAAGGCGACUCACUGGACACAUAUUGACGCUGAGGUGCGAAAGCGUGGGGAGCAAACAGGAUUAGAU
rnacentral:rRNA from 1 species